CAGAGCAUAGCUAAAUUUAUAGCCCUUCCCUUACACUGAAAAGUUGCCCGUGCAAACCAGGCUGUUCUGA
rnacentral:tRNA from 1 species